rnacentral:rRNA from 1 species
CCUACGGGAGGCAGCAGUGGGGAAUAUUGCGCAAUGGGCGAAAGCCUGACGCAGCGACGCCGCGUGAGGGAUGAAGGUUUUCGGAUCGUAAACCUCUGUCAGAAGGGAAGAAGGUGCGUGGUGCCAAUCAGCCGCGUAUUGACGGUACCUUCAAAGGAAGCACCGGCUAACUCCGUGCCAGCAGCCGCGGUAAUACGGAGGGUGCAAGCGUUAAUCGGAAUUACUGGGCGUAAAGCGCACGUAGGCUGUUGUGUAAGUCAGGGGUGAAAUCCCACGGCUCAACCGUGGAACUGCCCUUGAUACUGCAUGACUUGAAUCCGGGAGAGGGCGGCGGAAUUCCAGGUGUAGGAGUGAAAUCCGUAGAUAUCUGGAGGAACAUCAGUGGCGAAGGCGGCCGCCUGGAC